CCCACGGCUCACGCCGUGGGCUAAAUCCUUCAGCCCCUCCGGGGCU
rnacentral:sRNA from 1 species